UACGUAGGUGGCAAGCGUUGUUCGGAAUUAUUGGGCGUAAAGGGCGCGUAGGCGGCUUGGUCAGUCCCGUGUGAAAUCCCUCGGCUCAACUGAGGAACUGCACGGGAAACUGCCUGGCUUGAGUUCGGGAGAGGGAAGCGGAAUUCCGGGUGUAGCGGUGAAAUGCGUAGAUAUCCGGAGGAACACCGGUGGCGAAGGCGGCUUCCUGGACCGACACUGACGCUGAGGCGCGAAAGCUAGGGGAGCAAACGGG
rnacentral:rRNA from 1 species